GUAACACGUAGCCAACCUGCCCUGGAGACACGGACAACCCCGGGAAACUGGGAUUAAUCCGUGAUAGGUCAUCUCAUCUGGAAGGAGAGAUGGCUUAAAGGGGUACGCGGGCUUCUUCUGCGUAUCCGCUCCAGGAUGGGACUGCGUCCGAUCAGGCUGUUGGCGGGGUAAUGGCCCACCAAACCUGUAACCGGUACGGGCCUUGAGAGAGGUGGCCCGGAGAUGGACACUGAGAGAAGGGUCCAGGUCCUACGGGGCGCAGCAGGCGCGAAGCCUUCUCAAUGCGCGAAAGCGUGACGAGGUUAAUCCCAGUGGCCCCCGCUGAGGGGGUCUUUUGUCAUCUGUAAAUAUGCGGGCGAAUAGGGGGAUGGCAACCCUGUUGUCGGCCGCCGCCGCUAGUACCAUCUCCUCAUGUGGUGGAGGUGAUUAUAGUUCCGUCUUCAACAUCUAACCGCUGCAUUAGGAGGUCAGUAUAAUUG
rnacentral:rRNA from 1 species